CUGGGAAAGGAACACGCGUCUCCAACAGUCUGAAGUCACGGAGGUAGGCAACACAGGGCGGAGGUUGCGCAUGCUGUAUUGAUUGCAGACCGGCAUCCAUCUACCCACCUCACCUUUCAUUACACACCACUCGUCUCAUCCCCUCCGCCCAUCCAAGUCUGGCCGCCCUCACUUGCCUCUGGAGGUCCGUGUUCGUCGACCCAACUUGGCGGAAAGGAUCUCGCGCUACACUUGUUUUAUGCAUCCACAUCUUCAGCUCAUAGCGAAUGGAUGAACAAUAUUCAAAUUCUGGUAGCUGCGGGGCGGAUGCAGAGGGAUCUCAUAGUGCUAACGCACCAGCCGGUCAGCAAGGUCUGCAUGCUGCUUUGGAUGAGUCAUCUUCUAGUGCUAGAAGUGGAGAUCCACCCGCCCCAACAUCACGAAUAUCUCUCAAGCAUGUUGUCAGUGUCAUUCAGACUUUCAGCGACUACAAGAAAUGGCUUGUGGAAGAGAUUGGUUUUGGAGGUGUGCUCAAGCUCCCUGAUAUUCAGAAGUUAAAUCUGAGAUGCAGUGCCUGGAUUAUGAGUAGGGUCAGUGUUAGCCGUAGAGAGAUAAGGCUGUCUGAGAGUAAGGUGCUCAAGUUCUAUGUUGAGGAUGUCUACAAGGUGUUUGGGAUCCCUUGUGGUAACCGUAGCGUCAAAGGGAGGGAUGCAAAUAUCAAUCCAUAAGCAAUCCACUUCAUCAAGUCAACCCUUGAAAUGAAUAAGACUGGAGUUCAUAGCUUGCGCGCGGCAGAAAAUUUCCUCAUGCGUGAUAUCAAUGAGAAUUCUAGCAAGCUCGAGAAAGAUUGUUUUCAAAUUGCAUUUGUCAUAUUUGUCAUGGGCCAUGUACUCGCUCCCACCACGAAGCACAACUACUCGACCAUUGAUUUCUGGGGUGCAAUAGCCAACACUGAAAUGAUACAGCAGUUCAACUGGUGUGAGUAUGUCCUCCAGUUUUUGCUCGACCCCGUUCGCAAACUUAAGAGAGAUAUGGUCAUGAACAAUCAUUCAACCAACCUCACUGGAUGUCAUUUCUUCUUUCAGGUAUUUCUGCUCGACAAUCUUGAUCUUGGUAUAUUGAAUAAGCCACACAAUGUUCUACCAAGGAUCAUUGCCUUCGACCCAGAUACACUCAACAAAAUGCUCAUCAUGGCUCACGACCCAGUUAAAGGGGCUAUGUCAUACUCGCAUGCAAACCUACGAGACCCGGCGAAUGUAUGUUACGUGCGACACAAGGUUCAUUACACCUGUCCGUCGUCUUCCAACACCAACCAAUUGCGAAGGCCAGGAACCACUCCAUGGUUUGCGAAAACCCACACGACAGAAUCCCCUCGUACUGGACUAGGUGGCCAGCAGGAGAACCUUGCGACUCCAAACACAACGCCACGUGUAGUAGGGCCUCUUGAUCUUGCCAACUUCUUGCGUCAGCAGUACCCGCACCUUGUGACUGAUGAGAUAACAAUGAUCAUGAAGCAGCAUAAUGCUAGCUCAAUUAGGCAUUUGACGGAAGCAGCCAACGCCAUCCAAGGGGUUCUAUCGCAGGCAAAAAAAUGCAUUGCAGUCCGAUAUGCUCAAUUAUUCAGAGAAAAUUCUGAAAUCAAUUUCUAGCCGGUGCCUUUGUUGUCGUACGAGAGGCAUUGCCGAUUGUCAUGCAUCAGGUGUUGCAACUGGCAAGAAUGUUCGUUUUAGCACUCCUGUCGCACACAGAAUCCAGGGUCACAGGCUUGAUAUGUCUAAUGGUGAAGCGAUUUCACCGCUUAACCAGGUUGGGUCAUCAAGGAAACGUAACGCAAGCAACGAAGACUCCGCAUCUGCAAGCAAAAAAUCAUUUUCAGAAUCAUCCAUUGUGAUUAACUUCUUCAAAGACACCGUCCGCAAAGUUGCACAAAUGUAUGCUGAUCUCCUAGCGAACACAACCGUUACUGUCUUUGGCCAAACUCAGGGUAAACUACCAAAGAGGAAGUACAUUUUUCAGCAUGGUUUUGCAACCAAUCCAUGGGAGCGCGGAGUUUUACCACUGCCACCACACGCUGGAACCACAGAUAUGAUAGUUGAAUACUUCUCCAACUUACCUGAGAGUGAUCUCCAAAGGCAUUAUGUUAUCCACCACUCCCCCAGGCUUGUCCGCAUUACAGGGCUCUCUUUGUGUCAUCGGCUCAUUGGCAGUCGGAGUCUCGAUCAUGAACUUGUUUCCAUCAUGUGUAGAAGGUACACUCAGUCCGAUAUGGAAGCCAAUAGGGAAUGUCCAUACCUCAACUGGAGGCACAACAUGGAACCAGAGUUUGCGACAAUUGUGUUGUCCGACCAUGACUAUGUAAACAACAUUUCGAUUCAGAAGCAACUAGUCGGCAAGGACAUUCCUUAUGAUAUAACUUCAUCUCAGAUGUUCUUCCUGCCAGUACCCCUCGAAGCUGGUUGGGUUAUUUUGAUGUGGGACAUGAUGUCGAGGAAGACCCAUUUUUGGACCCGAAUAUCAAAGGGAAUGGCCCUGAUGAAUUCACGAAGGAUAAGCAUGAACUUAUUGCAUGGAAGCUUCACCAUGCGCUAUUCCAUUGCCUGAAUGAGUAUUAUGCAGGAUGGCCAUCCCAGGAUGGUCAGUGGCAAACGGUCUACCCUGUAGUAGCUGAAGAAACAUUCCGCAGCGAAGAAUCAGGGGCUUGUGUCCUGCAUAUAGCCCGACAGUAUGAUGGCACCAAACUCAAGAUCCCGCUCACGAAGACAUAUGACGCUCAUAGAUGCUUACAUGGAUUAACCUAUAAGCCACCAGGCUGUCCAACAAUUGGAUUCCACACCUCAUCUAUGCCAUCAAGGUAGCCCACUGGUUUUGUCUGCCCAACACGAAAUCAUCGUGUCAGCAAAACAUUUUAUGUAUAAUACACAUGCGAAGGAAGAAGUGUCACGUCAUA
rnacentral:rRNA from 1 species